rnacentral:rRNA from 1 species
UACGUAGGGAGCAAGCGUUGUCCGGAAUCAUUGGGCGUAAAGCGCGCGUAGGCGGCCCUGUAAGUCCGUUGUGAAAGUCAAAGGCUCAACCUUUGAAAGCCGAUGGAUACUGCAGGGCUAGAGUCCGGAAGAGGCGAGUGGAAUUCCUGGUGUAGCGGUGAAAUGCGCAGAUAUCAGGAGGAACACCGGUGGCGAAGGCGGGUCUCUGGGCAACAACUGACGCUGAGGAGCGAAAGCGUGGGGAGCGAACAGG